rnacentral:rRNA from 1 species
GAUGAACGCUGGCGGCGUGCCUAAUACAUGCAAGUCGAGCGAAUGGAUUAAGAGCUUGCUCUUAUGAAGUUAGUGGCGGACGGGUGAGUAACACGUGGGUAACCUGCCCAUAAGACUGGGAUAACUCCGGGAAACCGGGGCUAAUACCGGAUAACAUUUUGAACCGCAUGGUUCGAAAUUGAAAGGCGGCUUCGGCUGUCACUUAUGGAUGGACCCGCGUCGCAUUAGCUAGUUGGUGAGGUAACGGCUCACCAAGGCAACGAUGCGUAGCCGACCUGAGAGGGUGAUCGGCCACACUGGGACUGAGACACGGCCCAGACUCCGACGGGAGGCAGCAGUAGGGAAUCUGCCGCAAUGGACGAAAGUCUGACGGAGCAACGCCGCGUGAGUGAUGAAGGCUUUCGGGUCGUAAAACUCUGUUGUUAGGGAAGAACAAGUGCUAGUUGAAUAAGCUGGCACCUUGACGGUACCUAACCAGAAAGCCACGGCUAACUACGUGCCAGCCGCCGCCGUAA